UUAUUUUGUGACAGAUAAAUGGUUUAUGAUAUCCUGUUAGGCACCUUCCACCCUCCUUGGUGGGUGAAGUGUGGACUUCCAUAGAAGUCUUUUUAAGUUCUGUGGCUCAGGGGCUGUAAAUAGUUAGUUUCCCUUGGGGUUGGAAUUAGGGUCUUUCACUUUUGUAAAACUUUGAGAUUUGGGAACACCUUCAAGACAGCCUUCUACUUUAAUUUGGCUGAGUAUUGGGGUAGCCCUCAGGAUCUUGUUGCUAAUACAAGGAUGAUGGUCAAAGGAGGUGAUUUACGGCUACAGCACGAGGAUUUUGGAGGAAUGGAUUUUAAUCAUAUGUUUUAUAUUUUUAUAUUGUUUUAAUUGUUUUAUUGGAUUUUCAUUGCUGUUUUAAUUAUGUGUAGGCAUUGAAUUGUUGCCAAUUUGUACGAUGCCCUGAGUCCCUUCGGGUGAGAAGGGCGGGAUAUAAAUGUUGUAAAUAAAAUAAAAUAAAUAAAAAUAAAGGAGGUGACACCUGGCUGAAGAACAUUUCCCACUAGGUAGCAAAGUGUUUAUUGUUGGCAGAUCCUUUUCCUUGACAGGUUAACUCAUUUCUAUGGGUAUUCCAGAAGUUAGAGUCAAUACAUUAAUAGGUCACGUAAAUGGCCCUUUAUCUCUAUGUUUUGUAUCUGGUCUCUUUAUUUCGGGGUGCAGGUUCCCAUACCAGCUUGAAUGCAAGGCUAAGCUUUUCCUUCCUGGAUAGUUUGGAGCUCUUUUAGUAACUCACUAGCUGUGCCCGGCCAUGCGUUGCUGUGGCGUUGUCUGGUGGUGUUGGUGAGAACUUGUUGAUGUAGUGGUGGUAUUGAAUGUCUGUUGUAUGGUUGUCUUUAGGGGCCGGGCUGUGGCGCAGCUGUUGAGCAGCUGCCUUAAAUCACUCUGACCAUGAGGUCAUGAGUUCGAGGCCAGCCCGUGGCGGGGUGAGCACCCGUCAAUUAAAAAUAUAGCCCCUGCUCGUUGCUGAGGGUUUUCUGAAGUUCUUGACCAAAAGUUUGUUAUUAUAUUUAUACACAGUAACAUCCAGAAAGUUGAAAUGUGACAGGUUGAGAUGACUGGUAAACUUGAUAGACGUAUGUAUAGUGUUAAUCCAAUUAGAAAAUCCUACUGCAGCCUCAAUUGUUUUAAAUACCAUGAAUAUGUCAUCAAUAAAUCGGCCAUAGUAUAUUAUAUUGGCAUAGUACAUAUUUAAAGAUGGGUUUAGCAAUAUAGUACUUCCUAAAUUUGCCAUGAAUAAAUUGGCAAUGGAGGGGGCCAACGGACUUCCCAUAGCCACACCGAAGACCUGAAAGCAGAAUUGAUUUUGAAAACGGAAAUAAUUUUUCUCGAGUACUAUGUCUAACAGGUCCGUCAAGAAAUGUGUGGGUGGUUGCAACUUUGUUCUACUACGAAGGAUAUUCUCAAUGAUGGCACGAGUCUCAUCUAAUGGAAUGUUAGUGUGAUGACUCAUGGGCCUUGUAGUCCUGUUCCUAGUACUAUUGUGGCAGAUGAAGAGGAAAACAUGGGAUUUUCACCGGUUCAGCAAGAGCCGGAGCCUCUUCACCUGCAGGAUGUUGAUGUUUGCCCACAAGAAUUCAGCCAAACAGGCCUUGGGCAGAACUCCCCCCCGUUUUCCAGGAGGGAAAAUUAUUCUAAAGAUAGGGGAGCCAGGGAGGCUAAUCGCAGAAGCCUGAGAAUCGCUGCCAAACAAAUGGCUGAUUAGGUCUGCUUCCCUUGAGAAAUUCUAAGGAGUCAUGCAUCUGGACAGAGUUGGGUUUCGCUUCUCGUUCUCUAGGGAAAGAGUUCUGUUGGCGGGAAAACGAGACCCAAUAUAGGUGUUUGGCGCGAGGAAUACUUUGCGGAGUCAAUUGAUCAGCUUGAGGAGAGAGAUCGUGUGUGGACUUUGUAAUCCCAGUUCCUUGCUUCCCGGAUCAAGCUUCAAGCCUAGCCUUGUCUCACGUUUUACCACGGACUCUGUUUCAAGCUUCAUGUUCGUCUUGCCUUCAGUCAAGGAUCUAGUCGAGAAUCAAGUUUAUUUCCAGCCUUGUUGUCAAGCUUCAUUGGACUUUAAGACUCUGUUAUUUCCCCACACUAUUGCUUGGCAAAGUGUGUGUUUCGGUCAAGUGGAUUAAAACUUUGAACUCUAAUAUCUUAUAUUGGACAAUACAUUUCUGGACUAUAUUUGACCUUAUCUGAAAGGUCUGCUUCUGAACUAUAUUCUUCACUUGUUUUUAUUGAUUUUAUAUAUUUCUUUAAUAAAGAUAUUAGAUA